rnacentral:lncRNA from 12 species
GUGAGGAAAGCCACUUUUCCAAAGUUCCAAAGGCGAGACAUGGAUGCUGCUCUCCUAAUCCUAAGUCCAGAGGAGAAAACUGGGCUAACUCUGUAUAUGGGGUUAUCCGCAGCGGGCUUCCAGAGGCUCCCCAGCUAAAGAUGAAAGGAGACAACUUCCCUGCCCAAGGUCCUGGACCCAGGGAACCAGGCAAGAUUUGAUGCCAGCAGGGAAGAGGGGACCCCUCCACCACCCGGAUAUGGGAAAGUUGCUCCAGCUGCCAGGCCAGGCCAUUCUGGAAACUGCAAGUUAAACACCAACCAGGAAGGGCUGCUCCGGCCUUAACCCUCCCCUUCCCGGCACAGGCCCAGGCCUCAGGCCAAUGGGGCCGCAGAUCUCCGGCCUGGACUCUCAGGAGCCCUGGGGUCGGGUUUGCGGGCUCUUCUCAGCCUGGAGGUGAGUGGGUGGGCGUGAGGGCAGAGGGAGGCCAAAGGGAGAAGAGGAUUCCUUGAGCCUCUCCACUCCGGUGUUUGUAGACAGAGAACUCGCCCCCAGGCUGGCCAGAGAGCAGAGCAUUGGGGGACCCACACUGGGGACUGGGUGACUGUGGGCCACUCCCUUAACCUCUCUGUGCUGGGUUCCUACGGGGGGCGGGGCGGGGGGCUGUGGGCCUCCCAGCUCCACGCUUCUAGGGUCUGUUUCACGGCAAGUAGAGCCUGGUGGUCUUCUCCAAGAGGACUGACGUGUCCGUGUCCCCCGGGUCCCUGCACAGAAGCCCGCCCCCCACUGGAGCACAUGUGACAGAUCAAGGAACAAAAAUUGUAUUUACGCUCCUGGCAAGCAGCUGAUUUUCCUGAUCGCCCACCCGGCUGCACACGGCUCCACAGCGUCGGGUGGGGAGCGACUCCUUGUCCCUGAGACUGUGAACCGCAGAGAGAGGCCGUCUGGGGCCGGGAACCCCCUGCCCCCCACAAGCCCUCCUGGCCUCCCUCCGGCCUCCUGUCCCUGCUUCUCUCCCGUCACUUGCUCUUCCCGGCACCGGGUCUCCAGUGUCUUUGCCUGCCCUGUCCCCACCGACUCCUGGCGUGCCCCCCGGGAGAGGUGGCCUGCUGGCAGCUCUCCCUCCCCAGACCUCACUCCAUCCUAA